UACGAAGGGGGCUAGCGUUGCUCGGAAUCACUGGGCGUAAAGCGCACGUAGGCGGAUUGCUAAGUCAGGGGUGAAAUCCUGGAGCUCAACUCCAGAACUGCCUUUGAUACUGGCGAUCUCGAGUCCGGGAGAGGUGAGUGGAACUGCGAGUGUAGAGGUGAAAUUCGUAGAUAUUCGCAAGAACACCAGUGGCGAAGGCGGCUCACUGGCCCGGUAUGACGCUGAGGUGCGAAAGCGUGGGGAGCAAACAGGGAUUAAGAAUCA
rnacentral:rRNA from 1 species